rnacentral:rRNA from 1 species
UACGGAGGGGGCGAGCGUUAUUCGGAAUUAUUGGGCGUAAAGGGCGCGUAGGCGGCUAGGUAAGUCAAAGGUGAAAUCCCUCGGCUCAACUGAGGAACUGCCUUUGAAACUGUCUAGCUCGAGGCCGGGAGGGGGUGGCGGAAUUCCCAGUGUAGCGGUGAAAUGCGCAGAUAUCAGGAAGAACACCCGUGGCUAAGGCGGCUCUCUAGUACGGUACUGACGCUGAGACGCGAAAGCGUGGGGAGCGAACAGG